rnacentral:rRNA from 1 species
UACGGAGGGGGCUAGCGUUGUUCGGAAUUACUGGGCGUAAAGCGCACGUAGGCGGCUUUGUAAGUUAGAGGUGAAAGCCUGGUGCUCAACACCAGAACUGCCUUUAAGACUGCAUCGCUUGAAUCAUGGAGAGGCGGGUGGAAUUCCGAGUGUAGAGGUGAAAUUCGUAGAUAUCCGGAAGAACACCAGUGGCGAAGGCGGCCCGCUGGACAUGUAUUGACGCUGAGGUGCGAAAGCGUGGGGAGCAAACAGG